rnacentral:tRNA from 1 species
AAGAUUUUAAGUUAAGUUAAACUAUGUCCUUUCAAAGGUUAAAAUAUAAGUUAAAUCUUGAAAUAGAUUUUA